GGUUAAGCGAACAAGCGUACACGGUGGAUGCCCUGGCAGUCAGAGGCGAUGAAGGACGUGCUAAUCUGCGAAAAGCGCCGGUAAGGUGAUAUGAACCGUUAUAACCGGCGAUGUCCGAAUGGGGAAACCCGGUGCACUUCGGUGCAUCAUCGUUAGCUGAAUACAUAGGCUAACGAAGCGAACCGGGGGAACUGAAACAUCUAAGUACCCCGAGGAAAAGAAAUCAACCGAGAUUCCCCCAGUAGCGGCGAGCGAACGGGGAACAGCCCAGAGCCUGAAUCAGCUUGUGUGUCAGUGGAACGGUCUGGAAAGGCCGGCGAUACAGGGUGACAGCCCCGUACACGAAGGCACACAGGCUGUGAGCUCGAUGAGUAGGGCGGGACACGUGAUAUCCUGUCUGAAGAUGGGGGGACCAUCCUCCAAGGCUAAAUACUCCUGACUGACCGAUAGUGAACCAGUACCGUGAGGGAAAGGCGAAAAGAACCCCGGCGAGGGGAGUGAAACAGAACCUGAAACCGUGUACGUACAAGCAGUGGGAGCCUUCGUAAGAGGGUGACUGCGUACCUUUUGUAUAAUGGGUCAGCGACUUAUAUUCUGUAGCAAGGUUAACCGUAUAGGGGAGCCGAAGGGAAACCGAGUCUUAACCGGGCGUUAAGUUGCAGGGUAUAGACCCGAAACCCGGUGAUCUAGCCAUGGGCAGGUUGAAGGUUGGGUAACACUAACUGGAGGACCGAACCGACUAAUGUUGAAAAAUUAGCGGAUGACCUGUGGCUGGGGGUGAAAGGCCAAUCAAACCGGGAGAUAGCUGGUUCUCCCCGAAAGCUAUUUAGGUAGCGCCUCGUGAAUUCAUCUCCGGGGGUAGAGCACUGUUUCGGCUAGGGGGCCAUCCCGGCUUACCAACCCGAUGCAAACUGCGAAUACCGGAGAAUGUUAUCACGGGAGACACACGGCGGGUGCUAACGUCCGUCGUGAAGAGGGAAACAACCCAGACCGCCAGCUAAGGUCCCAAAGUCAUGGUUAAGUGGGAAACGAUGUGGGAAGGCCCAGACAGCCAGGAUGUUGGCUUAGAAGCAGCCAUCAUUUAAAGAAAGCGUAAUAGCUCACUGGUCGAGUCGGCCUGCGCGGAAGAUGUAACGGGGCUAAACCAUGCACCGAAGCUGCGGCAGCGACGCUUAUGCGUUGUUGGGUAGGGGAGCGUUCUGUAAGCCUGUGAAGGUGUGCUGUGAGGCAUGCUGGAGGUAUCAGAAGUGCGAAUGCUGACAUAAGUAACGAUAAAGCGGGUGAAAAGCCCGCUCGCCGGAAGACCAAGGGUUCCUGUCCAACGUUAAUCGGGGCAGGGUGAGUCGACCCCUAAGGCGAGGCCGAAAGGCGUAGUCGAUGGGAAACAGGUUAAUAUUCCUGUACUUGGUGUUACUGCGAAGGGGGGACGGAGAAGGCUAUGUCGGCCGGGCGACGGUUGUCCCGGUUUAAGCGUGUAGGCUGACUUUCCAGGCAAAUCCGGAAAGUUAAGGCUGAGGCGUGAUGACGAGGCACCACGGUGCUGAAGUGACAAAUGCCCUGCUUCCAGGAAAAGCCUCUAAGCAUCAGGUAACAUCAAAUCGUACCCCAAACCGACACAGGUGGUCAGGUAGAGAAUACCAAGGCGCUUGAGAGAACUCGGGUGAAGGAACUAGGCAAAAUGGUGCCGUAACUUCGGGAGAAGGCACGCUGACAUGUAGGUGAAGCCCCUGCGGGUGGAGCUGAAGUCAGUCGAAGAUACCAGCUGGCUGCAACUGUUUAUUAAAAACACAGCACUGUGCAAACACGAAAGUGGACGUAUACGGUGUGACGCCUGCCCGGUGCCGGAAGGUUAAUUGAUGGGGUUAUCGCAAGAGAAGCUCCUGAUCGAAGCCCCGGUAAACGGCGGCCGUAACUAUAACGGUCCUAAGGUAGCGAAAUUCCUUGUCGGGUAAGUUCCGACCUGCACGAAUGGCGUAAUGAUGGCCAGGCUGUCUCCACCCGAGACUCAGUGAAAUUGAACUCGCUGUGAAGAUGCAGUGUACCCGCGGCAAGACGGAAAGACCCCGUGAACCUUUACUACAGCUUGACACUGAACAUUGAGCCUUGAUGUGUAGGAUAGGUGGGAGGCUUUGAAGCGUGGACGCCAGUCUGCGUGGAGCCGACCUUGAAAUACCACCCUUUAAUGUUUGAUGUUCUAACCUGGCGCCGUGAUCCGGCGUGGGGACAGUGUCUGGUGGGUAGUUUGACUGGGGCGGUCUCCUCCCAAAGUGUAACGGAGGAGCACGAAGGUCAGCUAAUCCUGGUCGGACAUCAGGAGGUUAGUGCAAUGGCAUAAGCUGGCUUGACUGCGAGAGUGACGGCUCGAGCAGGUGCGAAAGCAGGUCAUAGUGAUCCGGUGGUUCUGUAUGGAAGGGCCAUCGCUCAACGGAUAAAAGGUACUCCGGGGAUAACAGGCUGAUACCGCCCAAGAGUUCAUAUCGACGGCGGUGUUUGGCACCUCGAUGUCGGCUCAUCACAUCCUGGGGCUGAAGUAGGUCCCAAGGGUAUGGCUGUUCGCCAUUUAAAGUGGUACGCGAGCUGGGUUUAGAACGUCGUGAGACAGUUCGGUCCCUAUCUGCCGUGGGCGCUGGAGAAUUGAGGGGGGCUGCUCCCAGUACGAGAGGACCGGAGUGGACGCAUCACUGGUGUUCGGGUUGUCAUGCCAAUGGCACUGCCCGGUAGCUAAAUGCGGAAGAGAUAAGUGCUGAAAGCAUCUAAGCACGAAACUUGCCCCGAGAUGAGUUCUCCCUGAGACUGUAAGUCUCCUGAAGGAACGUUGAAGACGACGACGUUGAUAGGCCGGGUGUGUAAGCGCAGCGAUGCGUUGAGCUAACCGGUACUAAUGAACCGUGAGGCUUAACCUU
rnacentral:rRNA from 1 species